ACAGAGAGGACACAUUGAGCCCGUCAAAUUAAGUGCCAGCCGACGCGGUAAAACUUAAGGGCUAGUCUUUAUAAGUAAAAGGCGUAAAGGAUGUGUAAGCCAAGAAUUAUCCAAGAAGGUAAAUGGAAUUUUUCUGGAGCGGUAGAAUGUGAAGAUAGAAAAUAGAACUCCUAAGGUUAAAGCUAUUUACCACAAGGCCGGCUGAAACAUGAAAGUGUGGGGUGCAAACAGGAUUAGAGACCCUGGUAGUCUACACUGUGACCUUUGAAGAUGAGACAAUCUUCCACCUGAGUAGUACGAUCGCAAGAUUAAAGUUCAAGAAUUUUGGCUGUUCACUAUUUCGAUUAGAGGAGCGUGUAGUUUAAUUCGAUGGUCCGCGUGUUACCUCACCCCAAUUUGAAUCCGUGACCGGUAUUGCAUGGCCGUCGUAAAUCCGUGUGUUAAACUAGAAGGGGUCCAACCCGGGGUUCGGCCCGGAGGAAGUCAGGUCUUAUGGUCCGAAUGUUGGGGGAUUUAUGCGCUACAUUUUUUUAUAUAAUGAGAUACUUGAAAGGUGAAUCUCUAAAGUAAGAGUUCGGAGGGUCGCUGUAAGACGACUGGAAAGUUGUAUUUAAUAGUAAUCGGAAAGUAGGGCGUUCCGGUGA
rnacentral:rRNA from 1 species